GACGAACGCUGGCGGCGUGCUUAACACAUGCAAGUCGAACGGAAAGGCCCUGCUUUUGUGGGGUGCUCGAGUGGCGAACGGGUGAGUAACACGUGAGUAACCUGCCCUUGACUUUGGGAUAACUUCAGGAAACUGGGGCUAAUACCGGAUAGGAGCUCCUGCUGCAUGGUGGGGGUUGGAAAGUUUCGGCGGUUGGGGAUGGACUCGCGGCUUAUCAGCUUGUUGGUGGGGUAGUGGCUUACCAAGGCUUUGACGGGUAGCCGGCCUGAGAGGGUGACCGGCCACAUUGGGACUGAGAUACGGCCCAGACUCCUACGGGAGGCAGCAGUGGGGAAUAUUGCACAAUGGGCGGAAGCCUGAUGCAGCAACGCCGCGUGCGGGAUGACGGCCUUCGGGUUGUAAACCGCUUUCGCCUGUGACGAAGCGUGAGUGACGGUAAUGGGUAAAGAAGCACCGGCUAACUACGUGCCGGCAGCCGCGGUGAUACGUAGGGUGCGAGCGUUGUCCGGAUUUAUUGGGCGUAAAGGGCUCGUAGGUGGUUGAUCGCGUCGGAAGUGUAAUCUUGGGGCUUAACCCUGAGCGUGCUUUCGAUACGGGUUGACUUGAGGAAGGUAGGGGAGAAUGGAAUUCCUGGUGGAGCGGUGGAAUGCGCAGAUAUCAGGAGGAACACCAGUGGCGAAGGCGGUUCUCUGGGCCUUUCCUGACGCUGAGGAGCGAAAGCGUGGGGAGCGAACAGGCUUAGAUACCCUGGUAGUCCACGCUGUAAACGGUGGGUACUAGGUGUGGGGUCCAUUCCACGGGUUCCGUGCCGUAGCUAACGCUUUAAGUACCCCGCCUGGGGAGUACGGCCGCAAGGCUAAAACUCAAAGGAAUUGACGGGGCCCCGCACAAGCGGCGGAGCAUGCGGAUUAAUUCGAUGCAACGCGUAGAACCUUACCUGGGUUUGACAUGGAUCGGGAGCGCUCAGAGAUGGGUGUGCCUCUUUUGGGGUCGGUUCACAGGUGGUGCAUGGCUGUCGUCAGCUCGUGUCGUGAGAUGUUGGGUUAAGUCCCGCAACGAGCGCAACCCUUGUUCACUGUUGCCAGCACGUUAUGGUGGGGACUCAGUGGAGACCGCCGGGGUCAACUCGGAGGAAGGUGGGGAUGACGUCAAGUCAUCAUGCCCCUUAUGUCCAGGGCUUCACGCAUGCUACAAUGGCUGGUACAGAGAGUGGCGAGCCUGUGAGGGUGAGCGAAUCUCGGAAAGCCGGUCUCAGUUCGGAUUGGGGUCUGCAACUCGACCUCAUGAAGUCGGAGUCGCUAGUAAUCGCAGAUCAGCAACGCUGCGGUGAAUACGUUCCCGGG
rnacentral:rRNA from 1 species